AGCAGCAGCCGCGGGAAUACGGAGGGUGCAAGCGUUAAUCGGAAUUACUGGGCGUAAAGCGCACGCAGGCGGUUUGUUAAGUCAGAUGUGAAAUCCCCGAGCUUAACUUGGGAACUGCAUUUGAAACUGGCAAGCUAGAGUCUUGUAGAGGGGGGUAGAAUUCCAGGUGUAGCGGUGAAAUGCGUAGAGAUCUGGAGGAAUACCGGUGGCGAAGGCGGCCCCCUGGACAAAGACUGACGCUCAGGUGCGAAAGCGUGGGGAGCAAACAGGAUUAGAUACCCCUGUAGUCCCUGUCUCUUAUAA
rnacentral:rRNA from 1 species